rnacentral:rRNA from 1 species
GAUGAACGCUAGCGAUAGGCUUAACACAUGCAAGUCGAGGGGCAGCAUGAUCUUAGCUUGCUAAGGUCGAUGGCGACCGGCGCACGGGUGCGUAACGCGUAUGCAACUUGCCUUACAGAGGGGGAUAACCCGUUGAAAGACGGACUAAAACCGCAUACACUUGUAUUAUUGCAUGAUAUUACAAGGAAAUAUUUAUAGCUGUAAGAUAGGCAUGCGUCCCAUUAGCUGGUUGGUGAGGUAACGGCUCACCAAGGCGACGAUGGGUAGGGGAACUGAGAGGUUUAUCCCCCACACUGGUACUGAGACACGGACCAGACUCCUACGGGAGGCAGCAGUGAGGAAUAUUGGUCAAUGGGCGAGAGCCUGAACCAGCCAAGUCGCGUGAAGGAAGACAGUCCUAAGGAUUGUAAACUUCUUUUAUACGGGAAUAACGGGCGAUACGAGUAUUGCAUG